UAGGGAAUCUUCCGCAAUGGACGCAAGUCUGACGGAGCAACGCCGCGUGAGUGAAGAAGGAUUUCGGUUCGUAAAACUCUGUUGUUAGAGAAGAACAGCGCAUAGAGUAACUGUUAUGCGUGUGACGGUAUCUAACCAGAAAGCCACGGCUAACUACGUGCCAGCAGCCGCGGUAAUACGUAGGUGGCAAGCGUUGUCCGGAUUUAUUGGGCGUAAAGCGAGCGCAGGCGGUUAGAUAAGUCUGAAGUUAAAGGCAGUGGCUCAACCAUUGUAGGCUUUGGAAACUGUUUAACUUGAGUGCAGAAGGGGAGAGUGGAAUUCCAUGUGUAGCGGUGAAAUGCGUAGAUAUAUGGAGGAACACCGGUGGCGAAGGCGGCUCUCUGGUCUGUAACUGACGCUGAGGCUCGAAAGCGUGGGGAGCGAACAGG
rnacentral:rRNA from 1 species